GACACGGUGGUAGAGUGGUUAAUACGUGAGACUUGAAAUCUCAUACCUUCGGGUGCGCAAGUUCGAAUCUUGUCCGUGUCG
rnacentral:tRNA from 8 species